rnacentral:rRNA from 1 species
AGAGUUUGAUCCUGGCUCAGGAUAAACGCUGGCGGCGUGCCUAAUGCAUGCAAGUCGAACGGGGUCUCACUUCGGUGGGAUCGAGUGGCGAACAGGUGAGGAACGCGUGGAGAACCUACCCCGGCGUGGGGGAUACCCGCCAGAAAUGGCGGCUAAUACCGCGUACGGUCCAGGGGCGAGAGGCUUGCUGGAAGAAAGCAGGAAUGCGCGCUGGGAGGGGUCUGCGCCCGAUUAGCUUGUUGGUGGGGUAACGGCCUACCAAGGCGAUGAUCGGUAGCUGGUCUGAGAGGAUGAUCAGCCACACGGGGACUGAGACACGGCCCCGACUCCUACGGGAGGCAGCAGCAAGGAAUUUUCCGCAAUGGGGGCAACCCUGACGGAGCAACGCCGCGUGACGGAUGACGCCUUUUGGGGUGUAAACGUCUUUUGGCGAGGGAGAGAAUGGACGGUACUCGGCGAAUCAGGACCGGCUAACUACGUGCCAGCAGCCGCGGUAAUACGUAGGGUCCGAGCGUUGUCCGGAAUUACUGGGCGUAAAGCGUGCGCAGGCGGCUUUCCACGCGCUACGUGAAAGCCCCGGGCUCAACCCGGGAGGGUCGUGGCGAACGGGAAGGCUUGAGGCCGGUAGAGGUGGGUGGAACUCCUGGUGGAGUGGUGAAAUGCGUAGAGAUCAGGAAGAACACCCGUGGCGAAGGCGGCCCACUGGGCCGGACCUGACGCUGAGGCACGAAGGCGUGGGGAGCGAACGGGAUUAGAUACCCCGGUAGUCC